CUGCCUCAUACAGGGGGAUAACAGUUAGAAAUGACUGCUAAAACCGCAUAAGCGCACAUUGUCGAGUGACAGAGUGUGAAAAACUCCGGUGGUAUGAGAUGGACCCGCGUCUGAUUAGCUAGUUGGUGAGGUAACGGCCCACCAAGGCGACGAUCAGUAGCCGGCCUGAGAGGGCGACCGGCCACAUUGGGACUGAGACACGGCCCAAACUCCUACGGGAGGCAGCAGUGGGGAAUAUUGCACAAUGGGGGAAACCCUGAUGCAGCGACGCCGCGUGAGUGAAGAAGUAUUUCGGUAUGUAAAGCUCUAUCAGCAGGGAAGAAGAAAGACGGUACCUGACUAAGAAGCCCCGGCUAACUACGUGCCAGCAGCCGCGGUAAUACGUAGGGGGCAAGCGUUAUCCGGAUUUACUGGGUGUAAAGGGAGCGUAGACGGCUGUGCAAGUCUGAAGUGAAAGCCCAGGGCUCAACCCUGGGACUGCUUUGGAAACUGUGGAGCUAGAGUGCUGGAGAGGUAAGCGGAAUUCCUAGUGUAGCGGUGAAAUGCGUAGAUAUUAGGAGGAACACCAGUGGCGAAGGCGGCUUACUGGACAGUAACUGACGUUGAGGCUCGAAAGCGUGGGGAGCAAACAGGAUUAGAUACCCUGGUAGUCCACGCGGUAAAC
rnacentral:rRNA from 1 species